rnacentral:rRNA from 1 species
AUUGAACGCUGGCGGCAUGCCUUACACAUGCAAGUCGAACGGCAGCACGGGUGCUUGCACCUGGUGGCGAGUGGCGAACGGGUGAGUAAUACAUCGGAACAUGUCCUGUAGUGGGGGAUAGCCCGGCGAAAGCCGGAUCAAUACCGCAUACGAUCUACGGAUGAAAGCGGGGGACCUUCGGCCCUCGCGCUAUAGGGUUGGCCGAUGGCUGAUUAGCUAGUUGGUGGGGUAAAGGCCUACCAAGGCGACGAUCAGUAGCUGGUCUGAGAGGACGACCAGCCACACAGGGACUGACACACGGCCCAGACUCCUACGGAAGGCAGAGGUGGGGAAUUUUGGAAAAUGGGGGAAAGCCUGAUCAAGCAAUGCCGGGUGGGUGAAGCGGCCCUUCGGGUUGUAAAGCACUUUUGUCCGGAAAGAAAUCCUUGGCCAUAAUACGGUCGGGGGAUGACGGUACCGGAAGAAUAAGCACCGGCUAACUACGU